GUUACACACGGAAUGCAAAAAUAAAAGGUCCAAGUCCAAGAGCGUUGGCUCACUGCAUGCCUUGGCUGCUUUAGCCAUGCUGGAUGCUAUGAGGUGAACAAGUGUAGCCAACUUAUGACUUGGGUCUUUAUUCUCUGGAGGCCAGGGAAAAGGAUCCAGACCUUCCCAAAGGUGAACAAAAAUGUUGAAAGUUUAACUUGCUGUCUCCUGCACGUGGGAGAAGACAAAUUUAAUUGGUUGCCUGGGUUAGAAAAAGCUUUACGUAAACUAGAGGCAAAGACGGAGGGGAAGGCAUUCCAGCCUUUUCUUCAGCUGGCUUACUGCUGCUGUGGCUGCGCCUCCCAGCAUUCCAACCAGGAUGUCCCCUGUAUGGUCACCCGGAGAACCACGUGUGCCCGCUAGGAUUACCCUUCCUGUGUGUGUGCCCUGACCAGCCCGACACUGCCUCAGCCCGGAAGACGUUCAGGUCAGGUUCUGCUUCUCGACCGGUGUGUGCUGUGCCUGAAUUUGUGCGUCAGGCCAGCUAAAAAGAAGACUCGCCUCCCUCCGCCCUAAAAUUCGGAUUACACUCACACUGGAUUCCAGGGCAGACCCUGCCACUUCAGUCUCUCUCCUUCAGCCUCAAAUUCCUCCUGGUUAAAGGCAAUAAUCCUGCCUACUCAAGGUUUGUUGGGAGACCUCCAGGAGACAACAAAUGUAAAACACCUAGCUGACAUUAGCUGGCACAUGGAAGGCGCUGGAUAAGAAACAGCAUUAUCUGUUUCGCUUCUUUAAUCCACAGCACCUGGAAUGCAAAGGGUAAGAUUUCCUCCUUUUAUACGGCUGAAUAAUAUCCCAUUGUAUAGAUGUGUCACACUUGCUUUAUCCAUUCCACUGUCGAUUGACAGGAUUGUUGUUUCCAUUAUCCUGACUACUGCGAUUAAUGCUGCAGUAAAUAUGGGAAUGCAGACAUCUCUGUCGAGAGGCUGGCUUGAGUUCUUUUGGAUAUAUGCCCAGGAGUGGGAUGCUGGAUCAGAUGAUGGGUUUUUUGGGGGUUGGUUUGUGGUUUGUUUGUUUGUUUGUUUGUUUUUAGUUGUUUUGGAGGGGACAUCUGGAUACGAACAAGAUCAUAUGAUAGUUUUAAUUUUUUGAGGAACCUCCAUACUGUUUUCCAUUGUGGCUGCACCAGUUGGCGUUCCCACCGACAGCGUACGACAGUUCCAGUUUUCUGCAUACUCUCCAACACUUGUGAUCUGCUCUUUGUUAGUUUGUUUGACAAUAACCAUCCUCACGUGUCACAUGUGUGACAUGACAUCUCAUUGUGGUUUUGAUUUGCCUUUCCCUAAUGCUUAGUGAAGGGGAGCAUCAUUUCAUAUACCUUUUGGCCAUUUGUAUGUCUUCUUUGGAGAAAUGUCUAUUCAGAUCCUUUGCAUAUUUUUAAAUUGGUUUGUUUGUUUUAACUAUUGAGUUAGAAAAGUUUGUUAUAAAUAUUGAAAAUUAACCCUUAUCAGAUGCAUGGUUUGCACAUCUCUGCCCAUUUUGUAGAUUGCCUUUUCGGUUUGUUGAUGUUUUCCCUUGCUGUGCAGAAGCUUUUAAGUUUGAUGUAGUCCCACUUGGCCGUUUUUGCUUUUUCAUGACUGCUUUUGGUGUCGUUUCCAUGAAAUCACUUGCCAAGACCCGUGUCACACAGAUGUUCCUUUAUGUUUUCUUCCAGGAGUUUUACAGUGUCACGUCUUAUACUUAAUCUUCAAUCCCUUUGGGGUUGAUUUUUGUGUGUGGUGUAACGUAGGGUCCGAUAUCGUCCUUUUUGUACAUGGGUGUCCAGGUUUCCCAGCACCAUUUGUCCAAGAGACUGUCCUUUCCCCAUUGCGUAUUAUUGGCACCCUUGUCAAGAUCAGCUGACUGUACAUGCAUGGGUCUAUUUCUGGGUUCUCUUCUGUCCCAUUGGCCAGUGUCUGUCUUUCUGUCACUACCAUACUGAUUUACUUACUGUAGCCUUGAAAUAUGUUUUGAAAUGAGGAGGGUGGGUACCUCCAACUUUGUUCUUCCUGCAGGUUGCCUUGGCUAUUCUGGGUCUUCUGUUGUUUCAUAUGCAUUUUAGGAUUGUUUUUCUAAAAUUGUUUUUCUAAAAUUGUUUACUGAAAAAUGCCAUUUGGUUUUGAGAGGAAUAGCAUUGAGGCUAUCAUUUUUCUUUUUAAUCUUUCAUCUUCAACUAUAGAUUACAUUGAUUGAUUAAUCAGUUAUAUUCUAAAUCUGAGGAUUGCAUUGGUUGGUUUUCAAUUAUUGAAUCACCUUUGCUUUCCUGAGCUAACCCACUUGAUCAUGCUGUUUUUCCUUUGAAUAUAUUGCUGGAUUCCAUCUGCUAGUAUUUUGUUGAGGAAUUUUGUGCUUGUGCUAAGGAAGAAUAUUGGUCAGUACUUUUCUUGGUAUCAGUGAAAUGCUAGCCUCAUAAAAUCGCUUGCAAGUAUUUCCCCCACUUCUGUUUCCUGGAGGACAUUGUGUAGAAUUUGUGUGUGGGUGUUUUUAUUCCUGUCGAUAUUUGGUAGAAUUCACUGGUGAUACCAUGUGG